rnacentral:rRNA from 1 species
GAUGAACGCUGGCGGCGUGCCUAAUACAUGCAAGUCGAGCGAAUGGAUUAAGAGCUUGCUCUUAUGAAGUUAGCGGCGGACGGGUGAGUAACACGUGGGUAACCUGCCCAUAAGACUGGGAUAACUCCGGGAAACCGGGGCUAAUACCGGAUAACAUUUUGAACCGCAUGGUUCGAAAUUGAAAGGCGGCUUCGGCUGUCACUUAUGGAUGGACCCGCGUCGCAUUAGCUAGUUGGUGAGGUAACGGCUCGCCAAGGCAACGAUGCGUAGCCGGACUGAGAGGGUGAUCGGCCACACUGGGACUGAGACACGGCCCAGACUCCUACGGGAGGCAGCAGUAGGGAAUCUUCCGCAAUGGACGAAAGUCUGACGGAGCAACGCCGCGUGAGUGAUGAAGGCUUUCGGGUCGUAAAACUCUGUUGUUAGGGAAGAACAAGUGCUAGUUGAAUAAGCUGGCACCUUGACGGUACCUAACCAGAAAGCCACGGCUAACUACGUGCCAGCCGCCGCAGUAA